AUCAGUCACAGGUUUUGGAGGACAGCUAAUUCUAGAAAAAGGAAACAGCACAUGUAAAAGUACCUGGCAAAGAAAGGAAACAGAAACCCCAUAGAGAAUCAUGCACAAGUGAAAAGAGGAGAGGCCAAGGGAACAAUCAAAGGUUUCCACCCCUGCAAAUCGCAGCCGCUUGGUCAGCUUUUGCACCCAGAUCCACUGGAAUGUGCGGAGCAGAGCUUGUCAGUUAUAGGCCUGAGCCUCACUGCUUCUAAAGAAUUCCCAGAGGGAUCCCAAGGAUGAAUGGCUAUCUCCCUGCUUUUAUAGGAAUAGAAUGGACUUCUUGUGAAAUGACUCUCCAACGUGUUUGGAGAGUCAUUUCUUGUGAAAUGAAUAGAUGGACUUCUUGUGAAGAAAGUUUUCUCCGGACAUGUUUUCUCCUGCUUCCUGUUCAAAACCAUUG
rnacentral:lncRNA from 1 species